rnacentral:rRNA from 1 species
UACGUAGGGUGCGAGCGUUGUCCGGAAUUAUUGGGCGUAAAGGGCUCGUAGGCGGUUUGUCGCGUCGGGAGUGAAAACCUUGGGCUUAACUCAGGGCUUGCUUUCGAUACGGGCAGACUAGAGGUAUGCAGGGGAGAACGGAAUUCCUGGUGUAGCGGUGAAAUGCGCAGAUAUCAGGAGGAACACCGAUGGCGAAGGCAGAUCUCUGGGCCGUAACUGACGCUGAGGAGCGAAAGCGUGGGGAGCGAACAGG